UGUUUCUUCCACUGCAGACCAAGAGCGUAGGCUCCCAGUUUACUGCAAAGUGGAAAUGAGAGGGAGGAACAAGAAUCCAUACUGAUUAGAAGGGGAGAGGUCCAGCGCUGUAAGCAGAUUGGACGUGAAGGAAGUCAGAGUAGCUAACCCAGGGUAUACCUUCCUUUGCUCUUCGCCAGAUUUUCCUACCAGGAAGAGUAUGUGCCAGCCAACAGACAUGAAUUUCAGCAGGUAGUUAUAGCUCUCACAGCAUACAUGCAUGACUGAGCUGGAAGAUACAUUUUGAGACUGAGACUGUUGAUACCCACACCUCUCCAAAAGGGUAAGUUUAUCAAGUUUAAUAAAAUGAUUCACAAAAAGUCAUUCACAUGGCUUGCAUCUUGCAAUUCAUCAAAAACAAUUCACGUAUCCUUCUAUCCUUGGCUUUUAAACACCUGACCACUGAGAUAUUGAAGGAUGUGAUGAUAAAUAUUCCAUAUCCUUGCCCUUUUGCUCUUCUCAAAUGUCAUUUGUCUGAGUUGGGACACGUAUCACCUGGUAAAUUUGGAAAAGACAUGCAAAUGAGCUUGGCCCGAGACAAUGCUGUGGAGACUGAACCAACCCAUAUUACAUACCCACUUUUCCUUAUGAUGUAUUUUUAAAAUAGAGCAAAAACAUGAGGCAGUGUAAAGCAGUUAUAGCUUCCAUAGUCCCUCUCCAUGAGGAAAUAUCAAGAUAUUUGCCUCUCUCUACAUUCCACAUCCUAUGCUCUGGAUAAGACAUAUUGCCACCCUCCUCCUUGCUGGCCACACUCCAGCUGCACUGCCCUUCUCUUCCUGCACUCACCGAACCUGCUCCACCCCUUUGUCCCGGGCCUCCUCUACCUGUAAUGUUCCUCUGUCUUGUUAUGAUUGGCUCCUCUGACUUUCAGGUCUCAGCUUAAAUGUUGCCCUUCGGAGAGGCCUUCACCGACGUCCUGUCUAAAGCAGUCACUGUUGCACUAUUCAGUUUUAUUCUCUGUACAGCACUUAGCAGUUGCUAAUAUUUUUCUU